GCAGAAGUUGCAGUAAGCCAAGGUCUGGCCACUGCACUCAAGCCUGGGAGACAGAGCGAUGAGACUCUCAUCUCAAAUGCUUGUGGUGAGAUUCUACAGUAUAGAAGCACACUUAUUUCCCCAUGCCAGAAAGAACUUUCCAGAUACUUCAGGAUCCAGCUAGCAUUAAUAUAAAACAGAAUCCAAGAUUAAUGAACCCUGACUGAUAGAGUUGGCUUAGCCACCUGACCUAAGGAUUCUUUCCCUAAGGAGAAGAGUGGGGAGGAAAAAUAGGGAAGAUAUUGCAUCUAUUCCAAGCAAAGUGUGGCAUGGGACCCAAAGAUCGAAAAUGUUUGGAAUUAACUUAUCCUGACAGUGGUUCCUAUUCUUUUCAAUUUCUGGAUCUACUCGUCUCUUUUAUUAUGUAGCCUAUCUCAUAUUCUUCCAUUGGAUCUAAAUUUCCAUGAGAAAUAAAAAUCAAUUUUUACGUGCUAAUUACACCAUAUAUUUUCAUGAGAUAUGUGUAACAGUUGUCUUUAGUUAAAUGUAUAGUAAACUUAUUUUAGAUAUAUUUAGAUACUAAUGUAGAAAACAAGUACCUUUUUAUCUCUUUCACAUUUAUACACUAUUUACAUCUAAAUGAAAGAUAUUAAGUGUUCCAAUUUCCAUAGGUGCCUUUUUUUUUAAGAUGGAGUCUCACUCUGUUGCCCAGUCUGGAGUGCAGUGGUGCCAUCUCGGCUAACUGCAACCUCUGCCUCCCAGGUUCAAGCAAUUCUCCUGCCUCAGCCUCCUGAGUAGCUGGGACUACAGGUGUCUGCCACCAGGCCCAGCUAAUUUUUGUAUUUUUAGUAGAGAUGGGGUUUCACCAUGUUGGCCAGGAUGGUCUCCAUUGGUGACUUUUUUAUUAGUGUUUUAUUUGCAGGGUAAAAUGUUCACAACCAUUCCUAAAUAUAAAACACAGAGGCACUAUUUUUUCUCCCCAUGACUUCCAUCUUAAUGCUACAUUCAAAAGCAGGAAAAACUUUUUAUAUACAUUGAAACCCUGUGGGUAAUGAUCCUAAAAAAAUGUUAGCCAUUCUCUCUAGUGCCACCCCAGGGAAGGAGUGGUGAAAGUAGGGGAAAAAUUGAUUAUAUAGAUAUUCUAUAGAUUAAUACUGCUACAAUAAAAGCUAACAACAGGAAGAUAACAUUUAAAUUAUUAAAUUAGUUCAAUGGAGGCCAAUCAAGUGUCUCAUAUGCUAUUCAAAGGCAACAUAACUGCUGCUCUUCAUAAAUGUUUCAGAAUGGUUUAUCACUAUCAGUAGAGUUGCAGAUUUAAGCAGCAUGUUUCUGUGGCAAGAGGCACAAAGGAGAAUCAUGCAUUUUUGAAUGCUAAUCCUGGAUGUUUCAUGUGCUUUGGACACUGAUUCCAUAUCCAUUUAAAAAAUUAUGAUGGUAAAUGACAUUUUUAAAGCUUUAAAAAACACAGUGAUAAGUAGAAUAUUGAAAAGUAGAAAUGAAGAAAUAGGAACUCCUAAAAUUGGAAGGUGAUAUAAGGCACAACACUGAACCCCACUCUGCCCCUACUCACAACUUUUUGGAAAUAAUAAUUCUUUUGAUAACUUAAGUAUAUAUCUGCAUGUGUUGGACUAGAGCAGAACUUUGUAAAGUCACUUCAAAGAAAAAAAAAUAGCCUGUAGUUAAGAUCUCCAGUUGAGAAGAGUUGACUGUUAACAUUCAAAAGUUAUUAAAAAUUUUAAAAUAAACCGAUUACAAUCCAAAGAGGUUUAGCUUCUCUUUCUAUUUUGUUUCUUGAUCUGAAUACUAUUUUUAAAAGUUCCUUAGGCUAAAAUGUCAUCAAAGGUGGCUUCGUUGUCAUAAGAUCUGGUGGUCGCACUGAGUCCUGUGCUCGGAAGAGCCCCACACUUGAUUUAUUGCUCUGCUGAGAAUGUCUUCAAAUUCUUAAUAAUUUUAUGUUUGAAUUUGUGUUUUGCAAGUGAAGUCUGGUGGGAUAAUGGAGUAUGUGUGCAGGCAGGGGAGACACAUAUAUGGAAAAUGUGUUCCUGCCAUUCCUUGCUUCUUCAUUCCCAUAGAGUAUUCAUUAUGCCCAUGUGAGCACAGAAAUAUUGUGGACUCAGAGUGUGGAGCAGUUCAGGGAGACACAAAGCAAAUCAAUGAAUGCCUGUUACAUCAUGACUGAGUAAGCAGGAGCACAGGCAAUCCUGAGAGGCUACAUUUCCAUUUGAACCAGAACUUGAUUCAAAUGCACAAAGAAGGCAAUGACAUUCUAAGAAAAUAAACCACCAUGAAACUCUGCCAUAUUCUUUCUUACUCAUUACUUUAAGGUAUUUGCCAACCAGCUACAAUAAAAAUGAUAUAGAAGAAAAUGAUAUAGAAGAAAAGAGAAGGAGCUACUCAUAGUUACUUUUUCUUUCCUUCUGUACUCAAUAGUAAGCCUGAGGUAGACAGUAUUGUUAGAAUGUGUGCAUAUCAAGAACUGAAAUAAAAAUAACCGAGUUAGUUUUAUGCAGUGUUUUCAACUGCCUGUUAACAGCAAAAUAUACAUGCAUGUACAAAGUAUAAAAUACAAAUUGUAUAAUUCCAGUGAUUCUACUUAAAUGGUUAACAGUUUUACAUUUGCAUUUAAAACUGGCAUUACACAAUAUAAAUGUGGGUGGCAAAGUUCAUGCUAAUGAAUAAAAUUUUUAUUUUUUUUUACGUAAAGCAACUUCAAAGAGCAAAUUUAAACAUACACACACACCUCAUAACAAGUCAUGGAAGAGGCCACAGAAGAAAGGAAAAACAUUUUUAGAUUUUUAGUAUCCCUUAUGUAAAUAUUUUUCUGCAUUUUGAACAAAUGGUGUCACAUUUUCAUUUGGCACUGAGUCCCACAAAUUAUGCAGUCAACCCUGAAUGUCAUCAGCUUUUUUCAUACUUCGUCACUCAUUUGGCUAAUACAGACCUUAUAGGCAAUUUCUUUUUGGUUUUCAUAAGAAUUGCCUUCCUAUUGGUCUCAGCUUGAUCUCCCAUUCUGAUCCCACAUGUUCAAAUUUUGUGGGUUGCUUUGUUUUAUUUUUCUUUCCAUCUGAGUAUAAGAUGUCACAUUCAAAUCUUUUAAUCUUGUUAUAAUUCCCAUUGGCAAAAUUGAUUUUGUAUUAAUUAACUCUACUAUAGUAACAAUUGGAACAAUGGAAGCAGACAUUUAUCAAAAUAAGAGUAAACUCAGAGCUAGCCCUCCUCAUUUUGGCAAAAUAUCUUUAUUUCCAAAAGAUCUUUUACUCCAAUUCAGUGUUCUAUGCUGCCAAAGAUAGUUCUUUCUUUGUCUUGCAUUUAUAUUUCUUUCCCUAAAAUUCACAAGAAUUUUAUUCAUAAUAUUUUGGAUUGCUCCAAUGACACAAAUGGUGUCUAUUACUUGUCUCACAUUUAAUCACUAAUUAUAUGCAUAAAGUAUAAUACAGCAGUUUUCCAGCUGUGUACAACAACCCAUGAUGCCAAUCUUUAAGAACUAAUAUAGUUUUUCCUACUUUAAUCCAUUUAAUUAAAAAACUCCAAAAUUAUUUCCAAAUAAUGUUAAUAAGUAUGUAUGUGCUUUACAUUGUAAUUGGAUAUUGUUUAUUGGUUGUAUAUUUACAUUCUUUACAUCUCUUUUCCUGAUACAUACAUUUAUUUUUACUGACGCAAAGAGUAAAACAUGUACCCACUUAAAUAAAUGUUACUUAACAGUUUAUUACCAGCUAAAUAACAAUUGAAGAAUUUAUUUAUGAUGAAGUGCCAAAGACAGUACUUUAUAAAAUAACCUUUGCUCAACAGACAUUCGAAGAAUUUCGAACUGACCAAUUGUAUAAUCUUGGACAAGUUACUUAACUACUAAGGUUUCUACCUUCCUUCUUUGUUAAAUAAAGUUAAUAGCAGUGCCUAACUUGAACUUUUGUUAGAAGCAUGGUUGUUACAUCAUAAGCAUUUAAUAAAUAUUUGAUAAUAUCUGCUCAUUAUUAUUAUUGGUGGUGGUGAUGUAGUUAUUAGUCUUAUCAUGUGUAGCUAAUUGCUACAAAUGUCAUUUUUUCUUUCUUCCUGGAUAAUGUAAGUUGAAUUUGGAAAUAAAGCAGUGAUGUGUUCACUUCAGGUAAUGGACCAUUAUUAGUCUUAGGCAGGAAUAAUAAUCUUGUUUCUCACUCUUGCUUAAUUUCCCAAUAUCCCUUGCAGCAAGGGCAGCCAAAGGAUCUAAGUUAGGCAAAUAAGAUUUACACAGAAAUUUUCUGAUGGUGUUUCUGAGAAGGUACUUAAUUACCUUGUAAAAGAAGACAGAUGUGCCUGGCAUAGUCCCUUACCUCUUCUAUUUGCCUUCCUUGAAUGUGAAUCAGAUGCAGCAGCCAUCUUUUGACAAGUCAUGAGGAUAAAAGCCAACACACUCACCAUGGCAAGCAAAGAAACCGAAAAAGCCUGCGUGUCCGAUGACAUAACUGAGCAGUGAG
rnacentral:lncRNA from 10 species